rnacentral:rRNA from 1 species
GAUGAACGCUGACAGCAUGCUUAACACAUGCAAGUCGACUUGAAUUUGGGUUUUUAACUUCGGUUUGGGUGGCGGACGGGUGAGUAACGCGUAAAGAACUUGCCUCACAGCUAGGGACAACAUUUGGAAACGAAUGCUAAUACCUAAUAUUAUGAUAAUAGGGCAUCCUAUAAUUAUGAAAGCUAUAAGCGCUGUGAGAGAGCUUUGCGUCCCAUUAGCUAGUUGGAGAGGUAACGGCUCACCAAGGCGAUGAUGGGUAGCCGGCCUGAGAGGGUGAUCGGCCAAAAGGGGACUGAGACACGGCCCUUACUCCUACGGGAGGCAGCAGUGGGGAAUAUUGGACAAUGGACCGAGAGUCUGAUCCAGAAAUUCUGUGUGCACGAUGAAGUUUUUCGGAAUGUAAAGUGCUUUCAGUUGGGAAGAAACAAAUGACGGUACCAACAGAAGAAGUGACGGCUAAAUACGUG